rnacentral:rRNA from 1 species
UACAGAGGGUGCGAGCGUUGUCCGGAGUUACUGGGCGUAAAGGGUGCGCAGGUGGCGGCGCGCGUGGGGGGUGAAAUCGCCCGGCUUAACUGGGCGGGGGCCUUCCAGACGGCGUGGCUUGAGCAGCGGAGGGGGACGUGGGAAUUCCGGGUGGGAGCGGUGAAAUGCGUAGAGAUCGGGAGGAACACCAGUGGCGAAGGCGGCACCCUGGAUCAGCACUGACCACUCAGGCACGAAAGCGUGGGGAGCAAACAGGG